AACGAACGCUGGCGGCAGGCUUAACACAUGCAAGUCGAACGCCCCGCAAGGGGAGUGGCAGCCGGGUGAGUAACGCGUGGGAACAUACCCUUUUCUACGGAAUAGCUCUGGGAAACUGGAAUUAAUACCGUAUACGCCCUACGGGGGAAAGAUUUAUCGGGGAAGGAUUGGCCCGCGUUGGAUUAGCUAGUUGGUGGGGUAAAGGCCUACCAAGGCGACGAUCCAUAGCUGGUCUGAGAGGAUGAUCAGCCACAUUGGGGCUGAGACACGGCCCAAACUCCUACGGGAGGCAGCAGUGGGGAAUAUUGGACAAUGGGCGCAAGCCUGAUCCAGCCAUGCCGGGUGAGUGAUGAAGGCCUUAGGGUUGUAAAGCUCUUUCACCGAUGAAGAUAAUGACGGUAGUCGGAGAAGAAGCCCCGGCUAACUUCGUG
rnacentral:rRNA from 1 species